AUUGAACGCUGGCGGCAGGCUUAACACAUGCAAGUCGAGCGGGGUGAUGGUGCUUGCACUAUCACUUAGCGGCGGACGGGUGAGUAAUGCUUAGGAAUCUGCCUAUUAGUGGGGGACAACAUCUCGAAAGGGAUGCUAAUACCGCAUACGUCCUACGGGAGAAAGCAGGGGAUCACUUGUGACCUUGCGCUAAUAGAUGAGCCUAAGUCGGAUUAGCUAGUUGGUGGGGUAAAGGCCUACCAAGGCGACGAUCUGUAGCGGGUCUGAGAGGAUGAUCCGCCACACUGGGACUGAGACACGGCCCAGGAUCCUACGGGAGGCAGCAGUGGGGAAUAUUGGACAAUGGGGGGAAGCCUGAUCCAGCCAUGCCGCGUGUGUGAAGAAGGCCUUAUGGUUGUAAAGCACUUUAAGCGAGGAGGAGGCUCUUUUGGUUAAUACCCAAGAUGAGUGGACGUUACUCGCAGAAUAAGCACCGGCUAACUCUGUGCCAGCCGCCGCAGUAA
rnacentral:rRNA from 1 species